rnacentral:lncRNA from 1 species
UACUCCACAGGUUUCCAGUUGUUUCAGUAGCAAAACUGUAGGCCUGAUUGGAUAGGACGGCUGAAUGUUUCCUCAGUGUGGUACUACAAUUUUGUGCAGCAAGUGCGUGGUAACGGUUCUAAUCUUCCCUUAAUUACGACGAUGAUAGAUCAACUAAACAGACAGCCUUUAAUGAAGACGAUUGAAACCGGUUCUUACUCCCCGCAGAAAAAAAAACCCGGUUCUUACUGUUCUUCUAUCAUCAUCAAACACAUGCUAAUGCUAUUCUCAGAUUUCAAUAAGAUGAACACACUUGAUCGAUUUAGUUGUUGUUGAAGUAAUACUCCCUCCGUCCGAAAGUAAAUAAAAUAAAUUUGUAUAGGAAUAUAUACAAGUCCACGCCACUUAUUUCGGAAUAGAGAGAGUACUAUUAUCCUAUAGUACAUUUUUUACCACUGGUAGUAUUGUCAUAUAAUACAUUUUUUACCACUGUCUAUCUACAAGUGAGAGUAGUAUUGUCCUAUAGUACAUUUUUUACCACUGUCUAUCUACAAGUGAGAGUAGUAUUGUCCUAUAGUACAUUUUUUACCACUGUCUAUCUACAAGUAGUACCUAACUUUAAAGAUUGGAUUGACAGAUUUAGAUGACAUUUGACUGCUGGCUCGAUAUUUUUUUUUAUUGGCCUUGUAAAUAUUUUCUUUUCAAUAUUCACUGCUUUCCUGAAAAAAAAGUAGUACCUAACUAUUCUUCCAUAUGAUUUUGAUUUUCUCCAAGCAUCUGUGGCAUGUUUGUCCUCAGUACUCAAUUGUCAGACCGACCAAAUAAAUGAAAAAUCCGGUAGCAUUAGCGGUUGCGAUUUUUCUGGAUACGGAUGUUUGGGGCUCCAUGGUCUUUCCUACUGUGCACACGCUUUCUGAACCUUUAUAUAUGUUGGAUUGAGACCUGUCUCACCAUCUUCUGUCACACAGUUAAAAUAAACACCACCACCAGUAAGAGCCCUAUACAUCAACUGUUGGGUUACCCACCGCAAAAAUGCAGUCAAAUUAUUACAUAUGGUGACAUGUUUCCAUUGGCAAAGAGUAACUUGGGAGAUGAGAUGAUUACAUCUAUCCAUCAAUCUCUUCUAGCUACAGCGCGCAAAAGCUGAGAACUUGUGAGAGAGGAGUGAGGAGGCCAAUGGUGGAAGCUGGAUUGAUGGAUGAGGCGCGCCCAAUUCAAGGCUCAUCAUGCUGGCUGCUCCACAAGAUGGAAUCCAUGUCUCGCUGCUCUCUGCUCUCAGCUCUCUCACACACGCAAGGCCUGUGAUGCGUGACGUGCCAUGGCCAUUUCUACCCUACCACAUUUACAUGCAAUUCCACAACAUAUAUCCCCUUUUUUUUCUCAUCAAUUCAUUUGCAUAAUUGCAUCUGCAUUUGCAUGAGCAGGGGAAGAAUGUCCUGACCCUUUUUCAGCGGCUUAAUUAAAGCCAUGGCUACGUACCAGAGGCAGGCACACACUCCUUCCUUGUGGCCCUCUUGUUUUUCAAUGCCACUUGCGGACCUACGAGUCGGCUGAAAUAACUAUGGCAGUAAGUGAUAGGUCCACCUUCCCUAAAAAAAGUGAUAGGUCCACCUGUAUUGCAUGUAUUAUACAUAUGUACCUGGAUUAGUUACACACUUGGGUACACCCAUUUUUCGAAUUCCAAGACAAUGACUAUUCAAAUUGCACCAUUUCGGUAAGAAGGCCACGAUGGUCAAUUUAAAUUUAUAAGCCUCUCUCCCUUCUUCAUGGCUCUCACUCCCUCCAGCGCCUGCUUUCUGACUCCUCUCUUCUGCGCCUGCUCUCGCGACCAUUGCGCCACUCAUCACCUCACCUCCAUCACCUAAUUCUAUUUCUCUAAUUUUCCCAUCAAUUAUUCUUUAAUUUCACCGAUUUCGAGCUUGGUAAAGCGGGAUUUGAAGUUGCCGAUGCCAAUCGAGCCGCCGCUGCUCCCCAAUUGGCUAGCGGUUCGCAAAGGGGGCUGUUCCUCAUGCCUCUUCACCUUCCUGAGCCGCAGAACAGCGGUGUACCGAAACAUGCCUCUUGCUAUUAUUUUCUCACCUGUAUUUGUGCAAGUUGUGCUGCAAUGUUACUCUUGCCAGCGAAAAUGGAGUACUACGCUGCUACUACCACAUUUUUGGCACAUUAAACCACAAGAAACCUGACCCAAUUCAAAUCACGUCACAUUCUCAGGAAGAACACAACACGCAGCACCAUGAUUUAUGGUUCCUGGUGCUAAGAGGUACUUGUACUAGUGUACAAUCUAUUGAAUGAAAUACAUGUAGAAAUGCACGGUGGUGGCAAAGGCAAACCCGUUUCUCUCGCUGCCGCCUUCAAUAUGUACGUCCAAGCUGUAGCCCAGGAGGGGGUUCACAUUUUGUGAAUGAAUGUAAGACCAAUUCAUCAAUCAACAUCCAGGGGGAUAAUACACACGAGCAACUUGAACUGCAUGCGUAUGAUGCCGGCUGGCUUUCAAUGUUUUCAUUAAUGCCUCUAGAUUUGAAUGCUUAAAGCUAGAUCGAGAUACUAUCAUUUGUGCGUACGUUCAUCUAUUUGAUGCACGGCUCCGAAUCUGCGUGACUGCAUUGUGUUGCCCAUCAGAUCCCGUCCCAACAAGUGCAUCACGCAUGGCUUACUUGUUCUCGUGUUGUUUAAUGAAUUCCGUGGAGAGUAACUCAAAUGUGGACCCAAGAUGACUAGCUCUCCAGUGAAGAAAACUAAUUUUCAGGAAAUUACUGUUAAUUCUCAGGAAUGCAUACGCUCCGGAACCAGUUUGCCUCUCUCGUUGAAGGUAAUUUUAAAAAAAAAAUAGGAAAGGAAAAAUAAUCUACUCCCUCCGUCCAAUAAAGAAUGUCUCAAUUUUGACUAAAUUUGAAUGCAUCUAUACACUAAGUCAUGUCUAGAUACAUCCAAAUUUUGACAAACUCGAGACAUCUUUUGUUAGACGGAGGAAGUAGUACUUUGGUGCUUCGACCGGGGAACAUUUUUCAUUUAGGGAAUCUGUGUAGUAGUUGUAAUUUUUCUUCACAAAUUUAGGUUCUCAUUGCAAUUUCAAGGGUUAAUUGUGUUUAAUUACAAUGUCUUUGAUGUAAGGCUUUGACCAACUGGACAAUUUUUACAUUUAAGCAUUGGAUUCGUCUUUUUUUUUAUACAGGGCGUAAAAGUUGUACAAUUUCCAAUGCACAAAUGACACAAAAAUGUAUAUAUGUAAAAGAAAAUCAGAACUUUUUUACACAUUUAAGUAUCGCUUUCAAAUUUUUUUGUUCAAUAUAUGCUCAAGGGAGCCAAAACACUACUUUUAUAAUUGUUGACUUGUUAACUACUCCCUCCGUUUCAUAAUUCUUGUCAAAAUAUUACAUGUAUCUAGACGCUUUCUAAGAAUAGAUACAUCCAUUUGGAACAAAUUUGAGACAAGAAUUUUGAAACAGAGGAAGUAAUAUUUCUCUCUAUCUCGUUAAAAAAGAAGGUAGAUGGUCUCUUAAUCACAGGACUUUACACCUUUAUGGUCUUCUUGAAAUUUUAUGUUUUUUACCUGAGAAACCGGUAUUUAGUUUAACUCAGAGUUGAACAAGUAGGAGAGAAAUACAUUAUUCCAAGCAGGGGAGAAAUUUGACACGUACGACUAGCGCCAUGUACUGGUAUAGUGGUAUUUCCGAAUAACCUUAUCAAUAUCUGUCUUUUGCCUCUCACACUCAUUGUUAAAUUUCCAACGCCGCUUGAUGACUUGAGCACACAGUAUACAUGACAGCAAACACGAGCUAGAGACCCAAGAAGUAGGAUGCGUGGAGCUGGAAGCAAAAUCAGCCGCGGGCAGGCGUGCACAAAGAGCACAGUACUCCGCUGCGGACGUCCUACGUUGCUGAAUGGUCCACGUACAGUCCCUACCUGCUACUGCCUCUGUUCUGGUGAAGGGGUACCAACACAUCUAGAUUUAACUAGUGUAUAUCACAAAAAUUAUACUUUUUCCGUCCAACGAAAGAUUUCUCAACUUUGUCCAAAUUUAAAUGCAUCUAUAUAAUAAGUCAUGUUUAGAUUCAUCCAAAUUUUGACAAACUUGAGACUUUUUUAUUAGACGGAGGAAGUAUAAUUAUAAAAUAAAAAAACUCAUGUUACAUUUCUUAGAUCUUGAAUGCGCGAGGGUCCCAUGUACCGGAACGAGGAAGUACCUAUGUGGAAAGAUCUCGUCUCAUGUCUCAGGCCGUUUGAUGCCCUGAGUGCCAUGCCAACUGCAUAUACCUGUUUUUUCUUUUUUGAAAAUCGAAAAGUAAGAUGUUGCCCGGGUUUCUGCAUCAAUUGAUGCACAAACUACAGAAAAGACUAUCUUGCAAUAGGUUCAAAAGCACCUCUUUCGACAAAUUGGACUGUUUUAUUUUCUCAUUCUGCAUAUAUGUAUUGUGCUUUUUUUGGAGCGGAGUGCAUAUGAAUCCUCGGUGUCGGUUGAUGUCACAUAUUUUGCACAGUUCAUGAGCUAUCAACAUACUCAUUCUAUGUACUCCAGUUCAUGUAGGUUUUUUUCUUGGACCAAGACAAGUUCUCUUUUUUUCGGCAGACAAGUUCUCUUUCAUCCAUGUUGGUUAUGGGGGUUUCCCUUCUUUUGGAAAAAAGAAACAUGUUGUUUUAUGAGUAAAUGAAUGUGAUCAGUUAUUGGCCGGGAGCAAGAGCCAAGGAGCUAUGUCAGGAAUAAAUAAAUAAAUAAAUCUAUAAAACCUACAUAAGGGAAUGAAGGAUAUCAACACGUUUUUAUGUUUACUUGGUAUCGUAAACAUUGACAUAUUUUUUCAUAAAUGUGGUCAAAUUUUGGAAGUUUAAAUCAUGAAAAACUGUUACAGCUUAUUUCUUGAGGAAAAUGGAUUGUUGUUUUAGUUGAUGCGGUUUCUCCUACUCCGUCCGGCCCAUAUUACUUGUCUCAGAUUUUCCCAAAUAUGGAUGUAGCUAUGUUUAAAAAUUCUAUAGAUACAUGUAAUAUUUCGACAAAUAAUAUGGGUUGGAGGGAGUAUCAAAUUACUAGGUUUUUUUAAUAGUCCUUUGCAACAUGAUGUUUUUCUAGUGCCUCUAGCAAUCGAUGCGGGUAUUUUGUAGCUUAUUCUUUGAUAGCAAAAAGGGGUCUCUUAGCUAAUUUUGCUUAUUAAAAAUGUAAAUUUAAACUUAGUUUGAAUUAUUUGAGUGGGGCGCUUAAUUAUUUUACAACCUAUCAUGAAAAUAUACACAAAAUUCUGAAAAUAUACACAAAAUUCUGAAAAUAUACACCAAAUAUAUUUGUACUCUCUGUGACCCAUAUUAGUUGUCCCAAAUUUAGUAUAAAGUUGUGCUAAAUCAGUGAUAAAUAAUUUCGGGAAGAGAGAGUAAUAAAAUUGCCAGAAAGGAAUGGCGACAUACUCCUUCCGAGAAUGAUCGCAACAGCAACGUAGCCAUUGUCGGCUUUCUCCUUUCGAUUCAAGGCUGCAAUCCAGUACGCCUUGUUGCCGCAUUCAAUUCUUCGAGUUUUUAGUUGUUAGGUUCGGAGCUGCGAGCAUUGUCCCCGAGGACUGGGCCGGUUGCCGCUGUGUGGGGGCAAGGGUAAAAAAGUGAGAGUACUUAGAUUGCCAUCAUAUUAUUCUCCUAUUAUUAUUUUCUUUGGCCCACACACUUUGCCUCGAAUUGGACUUGUCAAACUGUCAAACCAAAGCAAAAAAUAAAAGGGAAGCAAAGUCGGAGGAAAAGCAUCAUGAGCACACGAGUAUAUCCUAAUAUCCUUGCUGAUCAUGAGCACACAAAUAUGACAUGUCCUUGUUGGGAAGAAGAAAGUUCUCAGGACAUUUUGAGAGAUUCUAUGACAUUUCUUGAUAUAUGUCUGAAAUUUUUGGAAGUUCCAGAUUUUUUUAGCUCUCAGGAAUUUAAGUGAAAGUUUAAGAUUUUGUCUUUGAAAGCUCCCAGGAAUUUCACUGAAAGUUGGAAGCUCAGAGCGGUUAUGUUGAAUGCUCUCACUUUUUCUUCUGAUGGGAGAGACCGGUCGAGGCAUAAAAGAAAAUUGGUAUAUUCAGAUAUGUUGUCUGAAUCAACCGCAGGUAACUACUCCACGGUCAUCCCUAAACUAGUCAUUCCCUUAACAAAUGGCUGUUUUCCGUUUCCAUAGAAGUCGACUCUUUAACAUCUCAUGGAAUUGACAAAAUAAAACCGAAUGCCUCAAAGUAAUCACUUCAAAACAUGAAACAUGGCAGUAAUGCCUUUUUGAAACCCAUGAAUCUAUAAGAAUUUGGAUCGAGAAAAUGUAGAAGAAUUAAAAUGCCAUCAUUUUUAGAACACAUAUGAAUCAAAACAACACUUAGAUAGGGGUUGUCUAUUUGAAUGACACAGAAAAAUAACAAAAGAAGAGAUUAUGCGGGCGCUACUUAACAGAGAGAAGGAAGAUGCAUGAAUCAAAAUAAUAUGUGUAAAUUACUAACUUUGUACUAAAUCUCAAACACUUAUUAUGAAUUAUAAAUACUAUUAUGUUUUCUUCGGAAUUCAUGUUAGUUUGUAAAAAGCAAUGACAACAAUUAUGGUCUAACAGAGAACAAUGGGGCUACUGUCUUGAUGUUUGUCUUGUUGUGUAGGUCAGAGACCGGAGGAGAGAAAGAGAGAGUGCGCGAGGAGUCUGCUUGUCCGUCCACGCACGAUCUUUUGCCCUGUUUUUCCGGCUGACGGCGACCUGUGUGUAUGAUUUUGUUUGUUCCCUGCACGCAAGUCGCCCUUUUCGCAGAGCUUGGCCUUGUUCCCAGGACUUACACCUUUUUACAUGGCCAACUCAAUCGCCAUGCAUACUGUUCCCUUGCUACCUGCUACCAACGUUGCUUUGGUUGCCUGUUUCUUUUCGCUAAUUUUUUUAAAAUAAUACAUUAUUUUUCAUCAAUAUUAAAAAUAAUAUGUAGUGUUGUAGUAAAAUAAAAUCUUUAUAUGAGCCGGGUCGUAAAUCCUACGUGGCGACGACAAAGUCAACGUUUCCCAAACACAAGUCAAGACGCCCACGUGACAUGGUCAAUCCUACGUGGCAAUUUGUCCAAGUGUAAGGCGACCUUCGCUAUAAGGCUGGCGUACACGCCCUACUUUUAUACCCGCACUUGUGCCAUCGAGCAUUGGCACCCCAUACUCUAAGUGUUGUCGAGAACAACAACAUGUAGUUUGAGAAAUUUUUAAAAAUAACACAGCCUCGGCUUCGGCCAAGCUGACUGCCCGUAUAUACCAAUUUUCAUUUGGGCCAAGCACAUAUAUAAACUUGAAUAAUUGUGGCACCACUUCAUGCAGCUGUGGAGGGGUUGCUAAAUAUAAACUUGUAAUUUUUAUUUCUCUUGUUUUUCUUUGUUUUCAAGUUUAUAUAUGUGCACUAACGUAAAAUAGCAUUGUAGGAUAAUUAGUACAUUCAUUUUUAUUCGAAACGUGCAAUUGUAUAUUGCACCUUCGGAUGACUAAAAUUGCACAUAAAUUUUUGUGUGCAAAUUUGGAUUUUGAAAUUUACGAUUGGAUAUUGCACCUUCAGAUGGCUAAACUUGCACAGGUUUUUUUUGUACAAAUUUGGAUUGAAAUAUACAAUUGGAUAUUGCACCAUCAGACGACUAAAAUUACACGUGUUGCACCUUCAAACGGCUAAAAUUCCACAUGUUUGGAUUUUAAAAAUCGCACGUGAAAUUUUAGGUGCAUUUUUUAAAAUUGCAAGUGGAAUUUUGUGGGCAAUUAAAAAUUAAAGGUGAAAUUUUAUAUGCAAAUUUCACUCUCUCUCUCUCACACACACAAACACACAGCCAUGAGCCAUCGAUUGACUUAGACGUAGGUACUCCUUUUUUUUUGUCGUGCGGUCAUACUUGCCAUACUCUAUUUUCUGUAACUUUUUCUUGGUGUCCAUGCUGCUGCCGUUACUUCUGCAGCAUACUAUACAUAUCACUUCACUCACCACCUCUUUCUUCCAUCUCAGCGUGCUAGGGUAUGAAGUACCGGCUGAAGUCUUACUCUUGGCGAUGUUCUUAAAUUUGAAGUUGAGUCGUCAUAACAAGCCACAAGUGCAAAGAAUGGUCCAUUGGCCACCAAGCCUGACUUACUGGUUAGGUAGUACAAGCGCCAAGCAUGCGUGCACUGCUCUGGACCGGAGAAUCCCAUAGCAAUAUGCCACUCGUGAAGCGCUGGAGUGCCGGCCAAGGGUUAAUUUGGUGCAUGCCAGCUCCAUCCACGGUCUUUUUUUUUUUUCGUUCGAAAAGGGCAUCAUUCCGGUGUCUGCAUAAAAAAGAUGUGCAAAUCCAUUUUAUUACAAGGUUAAGGUAUCUCAGUUACAGUGUUUAGUGUUUACGGAUCACACAAGCUGGAAUAAAAAAUAACAAAAAUGUUACAGCUCCAUCCAUGGUACUAAUUAAUUAACAAUUAAGCUACUGAUAACAGGAAAUUCCUUAUAUAUUUAAGCAUUCCUAGUACCAAACCAGACCACUCUGGUCCAAAAGAAUGCUAUCAUCUUCACCUAGCUCGCUCUGCACGCGUCUUUUUUUAUUUUUGCCACGUAGUCACUAUUCAUUCUUCCAACAGGUUGGAUUUUUCUUAGAUUGUUAACCAACGCACUAGAGUAAUAUCAAAUGAUGUUCUAGAAUGCAGCUGGUUAUUUUUUAUUAUUAUUACUUAGGACGAUCAGAUAAAAUAAAUAGCUAUAGAUUUAUGAUAAGAAAUAUUUUCAUAAAAUCGUAUUUUAAGCAUUUUCAUCAACAACAAAUCCACACGAGUAAGAAGUAACUUCACCGGAUUUUUUUGGAAGGAACUUCAUCGGAUUAACACCUAGUUUUGUUUCUCAAAGGCAGCAAACAGAAGAAGAAUUGUCUCCAUGAUUUGGGCAUAUGUUUUGCGGUUGUUUUUCCCUUUGCCGCCGAGGUAGUAGGAGGGCGCUGGGGGCCUGUCUUGAACUAAGGCAACGUGUGUACUUGACAUGUGGGCACACCAUGCUGGUAGGUCUAGAUUUUUAUUUUGGGGAAAGCAAAGUACUGCCCCCUAUGGCCUGUGCUGUGCUGUGCCCACUUCUUGCUGCAGCAAUGCAUGCAUGUCCUGCUCUCUCUGCCUUCCUUUUUCAGUUUUCCCCUUUCCUCCUCUUCCUUCCUCACUUGUCUGUUCCAUUCCACCUCAGGACAAAACAACCAAGGCUGCAUGCUUCUUUUAUUACUUCUUCUAUUACUCUAUUUCCUUCCUGUUUAGUAACAAAAAACUAAUACUAUAAUGUUGUGGGACUCACCCACAUAUAUAUAUACUUCUCUGUGCUUAGUCCAAAGCCCCAGCUGUGACUUGGAUUACCCAUGCUUCAAAUGGUGAUUGGACUUAUUAUGCCAUGGAAGCAAGUGAUGACAAACAAAUGAUUUGUGGGGGGGCUGUUGGAAAGGUUGGGGGGAGCACCACAUGGGAAGGGGACUUGUGUGUGUCUUCUUCUUCCGGUCCUCACCCUAGGUAGGUUCCCUGCCCUGCCUACAAGUUGCCAUGCACCUUCUCACUGACAACGGAGUCCAGAUGGAUCGGGCCGACGUGUAAGCAUCUGUGAUCUACACGAUCGUGUGUAGGAGAAACUUUUAUUAAGAAUGUGUGCAAAUGCUUUUACUUGUAGGUGGGUGUACUUAAGUAGGGUUUCAACUUGUACUAGGAGACUUUUUGUGGGUUGUAACAGAAAAGAGGAGGAGGGACAGAGAGAAAAGCACUGAUAUGGAAAUACACAGUGCCAAUGCCAAUCAACGCACAUCAUGGGAACAUUUGUCAAGGCAUUGGUCCUCUGAUCUAUGUCACAUGGAGCUUCUUUUUUUCUUUCUUCCGAGCAACCAUCUAUUUUAGUCCAUUAACUAUCAAGCAUGCCGAUGCUAGUAGAAUUUCUUCACACAUCGUAUAGUUUUGUAGGCCAUUCUUUUUUGAGAAAAGAACCUAUUUUUGGUCGUCUUUGGGAAGAGUUUCUGGAAAAUGUAUUUAUUCCUGCAAAUCAAUGUCAAUUAGUGGAGCACUUGGUAAUAUUAUACCCCAGUCACAAACACUGGCUGGUGGCAAAGUCCAUGUUACUCUUUUCCAGUGGAGUAAAAUGGCAAAGAUUUGUAGCGUACACUUUGUCUCUGCAUCUUUACAAACUUUUGUUUUUCUCGACAUGCUCAUGUGCAGCAGUGAAACAAUAUCCUUUUGCUUGUGUGUAGCAAUGCCAGGGCGUUGUGCUUAAUUAAUCAGCAGAAGAUGCCAGUGAGAGGGGGACACGGUGACACUCACUCUCCUAGCUUUGAUCAGAGGUGUGUGUAGUCUUUGGAGGAAAGGAAAGGAAAUGAUAGCCGGACCCACUCCACAGUGUGAGAGGAGAGCAAAACUCUUCUCUUACCUCGAGGUCAAAGCCUACAAAAGUCCAAGGAGGAGACUAUUAAAGCGCUUUGCAAUGCGGAUAGUGAACGUUGGAGAAUUGUUUACGGUUGCUUUGGCGCCUUCUAAUCACGUUUGUUCGUAGAUUACAAGCGACGUCGUCCUCAUGCUUUUAACCAUUCCCAAUGCUCAGCCCAGGUCAAUCGCAAAAGCUCACCUCCCCAACUCAUUUUUGCUACAUCCUUACCAAGUUACCAUCUGGCAUGACCGGGUUGUGUCUUGUGUGGUUGUCUAUAAGACUAUGUUAAUUCUUCUUACAAGUGAAAUUUUACAACCACAUUUUAAAUUUCAAGGCUAGCCUUGCAAGAUCAAGAUAAACACAUCCAUUGAACCCCGAUAUCAAAUCCUGGACUCGCAUUUUGGCGUACUGUCAUGGGUCGGUGUUAGCCUAAUUUGGAGAUUUAGGCAAAUUUCUGGCUACACCUCCGAACGCACACCGGUCAGUUGGUACCCGUACCCAAUUUGAAUUUAUUAUGCAGUGUAUUAGUGCUCGGGCCAAGCAUCAAAAGUUAGAGCGUUGUUGUACAUACGAUUUUGUGACGAUCUCAGUCAAAUACACAACCUGUUUGGGCUAUAGGCUGCGAAAAAUCAUUAGAAAAAAAAUCAUUGUUAUCUUCCCCGCAAAAAGAAAAAAAUCAUUGUGAUCUUGCCGUCCCUGUUUUAUCGUACCAAGAGCACUUCCG